UGGGGAAUCUUGCACAAUGGGCGAAAGCCUGAUGCAGCGACGCCGCGUGCGGGAUGAAGGCCCUAUGGGUUGUAAACCGCUUUCAGCAGGGAAGAGGCCGCAAGGUGACGGUACCUGCAGAAGAAGCCCCGGCUAACUACGUGCCAGCAGCCGCGGUAAUACGUAGGGGGCAAGCGUUAUCCGGAUUCAUUGGGCGUAAAGCGCUCGUAGGCGGCUUGUUUGGUCGGGAGUCAAAUCCCGGGGCUCAACCCCGGCACGCUUCCGAUACCGGCAGGCUUGAGUUUGGUAGGGGAAAGUGGAAUUCCAAGUGUAGCGGUGGAAUGCGCAGAUAUUUGGAAGAACACCAGUGGCGAAGGCGGCUUUCUGGGCCAUAACUGACGCUGAGGAGCGAAAGCUAGGGGAGCAAACAG
rnacentral:rRNA from 1 species